CCUGUCUCAGAUACUUACCUGUAUAUACCUGUGGGAGGAAGAAGAAAAAGGUGUGUCCACCUAGAAUAAUUUGUUUGCUGGAAGUUCUGUUGUUGGCAGAAAAUGGAAGCUACAAACUAGUGUGGUUAUCAGCAGGGAAUGGGAUCAAAGUUUCAGUCCAACAAGUCCAGGCAACUUUCAGCUUGAAGGCCAAGGUGUUACUACUUAGAAUUUAGGGCACAGAAGGCUGGUGUGUGUCGGCAGUGAUAUUUGGGAGAAUGAGUCUGUUUGGGAGACACUUUAGGUCAUACCAGCAGCAGCUGCUGACAUAUGAACCUCGCAGAUGAAGAUGCCAUAGCAUGGCUAUUUCUCGACUGCACUGCUGAAGAUCUGCACAGGAAGCACAAAGCUCUGGUUACCACUGGAAGCCGUCUUGCCCCCAUAAACCAGCCUUAGGAUGCCACUGAUGCUGUAUGGCAGAAUGGAGUAACAGAGAGAAUUUGCAGAAUAAAGAAGGGACAAUGCAGUCACCAGGUCAGCAUUAAGGGAAGGCUUGGCUGCAUCAUCUGCCACUCUGCUGCUGCUGACUCUGCCAGUGGGGACAGCACAUGCUUCCUUCUACGCUUGCCUGAGGUUCGUAACUUCAGAGCCCCACAGCAUUUCUGGAAGGAGUAAAAUGAGCUACAUGGUCCGGGAAGCUACUCCUAAGUAGAGUUCACAAUCAAAGGAAUAGAAGCUGGGGAAAACAAUAAAGCAGUCUUCUUCUUCUCAA
rnacentral:lncRNA from 1 species